rnacentral:rRNA from 1 species
UACGUAGGGGUCUAGCGUUGUCCGGAAUCAUUGGGCGUAAAGAGCUCGUAGGCGGUUCGGCAAGUCGGAUGUGAAAUCUCCACGCUCAACGUGGGGGGGCCAUUCGAAACUGCCGUGACUCGAGUCCGGGUAGGGGAGUGCGGAAUUCCCGGUGUAGCGGUGAAAUGCGUAGAGAUCGGAAAGAACACCAACGGCGAAAGCACUCUGCUGGGCCGGACACUGACACUGAGAGACGAAAGCUAGGGGAGCGAAUGGG